AAGGGCCACACAUCGCCCUCGCGGAGGCGGGGGCCCAUUCCACGUAACCGAAUUCGGUAAAGUGGUAUAGCCCCCCGCCUCCGCGAGGGCGAUGUGGUGGUAGGC
rnacentral:pre_miRNA from 1 species